rnacentral:rRNA from 1 species
AGAGAAGGUUACAAGGGCGGACGGUGGAUGCCUAGGCUUCUGUAGGCGAAGAAGGACGUGGUAAGCUGCGAAAAGCGCCGUGUAGCUGCAAACAGGCUAUGAUGCGGCGAUCUCCGAAUGGGGCAACCUGGCGGCAUGAAGUGCCGUCACCGGCAAAGCCGGAGCGAACGUGGGGAACUGAAACAUCUCAGUACCCGCAGGAAGAGAAAGAAAAAUCGAUUCCCAAAGUAGUGGCGAUCGAAAUGGGAAGAGCCCAAACCAUUAGUGUUACGGCACAAAUGGGGUUGUAGGAUGUGUCAAAGGCAUAUAUUUAACGAACUGGAACAAUCUGGAAAGUUUGACCACAGAGGGUGACAGUCUCGUACAGGAAAGUUAAAUAUAUCAGGACACACACCUGAGUAGGACGGGACACGUGAAAUCCUGUUUGAAUCUGCGGGGACCAUCCCGCAAGGCUAAAUCUCACAGAAGACCGAUAGUGAACCAGUACUGU